UGCUUUCCGGCGUCUGAGAGGAUGAGAACCUCCGGGGGCAGGGAGGUUCGACCCGAGCGCAGCGCAAGCAACGACCCGCAGGGCGAAGCCGCAAAGCGGCGAGUUAUCCUCUGGCACCGACCA
rnacentral:sRNA from 1 species